AACGAACGCUGGCGGCAGGCUUAACACAUGCAAGUCGAACGGGCGCAGCGAUGCGUCAGUGGCAGACGGGUGAGUAACGCGUGGGAACGUACCUUUCGGUUCGGAAUAACUCAGGGAAACUUGAGCUAAUACCGGAUACGCCCUUUGGGGGAAAGAUUUAUUGCCGAAAGAUCGGCCCGCGUCCGAUUAGCUAGUUGGUGAGGUAAAGGCUCACCAAGGCGACGAUCGGUAGCUGGUCUGAGAGGAUGAUCAGCCACACUGGGACUGAGACACGGCCCAGACUCCUACGGGAGGCAGCAGUGGGGAAUAUUGGACAAUGGGCGCAAGCCUGAUCCAGCCAUGCCGCGUGAGUGAUGAAGGCCCUAGGGUUGUAAAGCUCUUUCGCCAGGGACGAUAAUGACGGUACCUGGAUAAGAAGCCCCGGCUAACUUCGUGCCAGCCGCCGCAGUAAAAC
rnacentral:rRNA from 1 species